rnacentral:rRNA from 1 species
AUUGAACGCUGGCGGCAUGCCUUACACAUGCAAGUCGAACGGUAACAGGUCUUCGGAUGCUGACGAGUGGCGCACGGGUGAGUAAUACAUCGGAACGUGCCCAGACGUGGGGGAUAACGAGGCGAAAGCUUUGCUAAUACCGCAUACGAUCUAAGGAUGAAAGCAGGGGACCGCAAGGCCUUGCGCGUUUGGAGCGGCCGAUGGCAGAUUAGGUAGUUGGUGGGAUAAAAGCUUACCAAGCCGACGAUCUGUAGCUGGUCUGAGAGGACGACCAGCCACACUGGGACUGAGACACGGCCCAGACUCCUACGGGAGGCAGCAGUGGGGAAUUUUGGACAAUGGGCGAAAGCCUGAUCCAGCAAUGCCGCGUGCAGGAUGAAGGCCUUCGGGUUGUAAACUGCUUUUGUACGGAACGAAAAGGCUCUGGCUAAUACCUGGGGCACAUGACGGUACCGUAAGAAUAAGCACCGGCUAACUACAUG